rnacentral:rRNA from 1 species
AUUGAACGCUGGCGGCAUGCCUUACACAUGCAAGUCGAACGGCAGCGCGGGAGCAAUCCUGGCGGCGAGUGGCGAACGGGUGAGUAAUAUAUCGGAACGUGCCCAGUAGUGGGGGAUAGCCCGGCGAAAGCCGGAUUAAUACCGCAUACGACCUGAGGGUGAAAGCGGGGGAGUCGCAAGACCUCGCGCUAUUGGAGCGGCCGAUAUCAGAUUAGCUAGUUGGUGGGGUAAAGGCCUACCAAGGCAACGAUCUGUAGUUGGUCUGAGAGGACGACCAGCCACACUGGGACUGAGACACGGCCCAGACUCCUACGGGAGGCAGCAGUGGGGAAUUUUGGACAAUGGGGGCGAACCCUGAUCCAGCCAUGCCGCGUGAGUGAAGAAGGCCUUCGGUUGUAAAGCUCUUCAGACGGAAAGAAAACGACAUCGGUGAAUACCCGACUGUGGAUGACGGUA